rnacentral:sRNA from 1 species
UUUUAGCCACGAUGGAAGUGGAAAUCCUCGCAGAGAUUGAAACGAACAGCGGGAAUAUGG